rnacentral:rRNA from 1 species
UGUACCCGCGGCAAGACGGAAAGACCCCGUGAACCUUUACUAUAGCUUGACACUGAACAUUGAGCCUUGAUGUGUAGGAUAGGUGGGAGGCUUUGAAGUGUGGACGCCAGUCUGCAUGGAGCCGACCUUGAAAUACCACCCUUUAAUGUUUGAUGUUCUAACGUGGACCCGUGAUCCGGGUUGCGGACAGUGUCUGGUGGGUAGUUUGACUGGGGCGGUCUCCUCCUAAAGAGUAACGGAGGAGCACGAAGGUUGGCUAAUCCUGGUCGGACAUCAGGAGGUUAGUGCAAUGGCAUAAGCCAGCUUGACUGCGAGCGUGACGGCGCGAGCAGGUGCGAAAGCAGGUCAUAGUGAUCCGGUGGUUCUGAAUGGAAGGGCCAUCGCUCAACGGAUAAAAGGUACUCCGGGGAUAACAGGCUGAUACCGCCCAAGAGUUCAUAUCGACGGCGGUGUUUGGCACCUCGAUGUCGGCUCAUCACAUCCUGGGGCUGAAGUAGGUCCCAAGGGUAUGGCUGUUCGCCAUUUAAAGUGGUACGCGAGCUGGGUUUAGAACGUCGUGAGACAGUUCGGUCCCUAUCUGCCGUGGGCGCUGGAGAACUGAGGGGGGCUGCUCCUAGUACGAGAGGACCGGAGUGGACGCAUCACUGGUGUUCGGGUUGUCAUGCCAAUGGCACUGCCCGGUAGCUAAAUGCGGAAGAGAUAAGUGCUGAAAGCAUCUAAGCACGAAACUUGCCCCGA